rnacentral:rRNA from 1 species
UACGAAGGGUGCAAGCGUUAUUCGGAAUAAUUGGGCGUAAAGGGUGUGUAGGCGACAUUUCAAGUCUGUUGUUAAAUUUCCCGGCCUAACCGGGGGAAUGCGGCAGAAACUGAUUUGAUAGAGGUUGGAAGAGAGAAGUGGAAUUCUCGGAGUAGCGGUAAAAUGCGUAGAUAUCGAGAGGAACACCGAUGGCGAAGGCAGCUUCUUGGUCCAUACCUGACGCUGAAACACGAAAGCGUGGGGAGCAAACAGGAUUAGAUACCCUGGUAGUCCACGCUGUAAACGAUGAUCACUUGAUGUUGGUCCUGCUUAGCGGGAUCAGUGUCGUAGCUAACGCGCUAAGUGAUCCGCCUGGGAACUACGGUCGCAAGACUAAA